GACGAACGCUGGCGGCGCGCUUCAAGCAUGCAAGUCGAACGAGAACCCCGGGCUUGCCCGGGGCGAGAGUGGCGAACGGGUGAGUAACACGUGAGGAACCUGCCCCGAAGACCGGGAUAACGCCGGGAAACUGGUGCUAAUACCGGAUGCCCUCGCCGGAUCGCAUGGUCUGGCGAGGAAAUGGAUUCCGCUUCGGGAUGGCCUCGCGUCCUAUCAGCUUGUUGGUGGGGUAACGGCCUACCAAGGCGGCGACGGGUAGCUGGUCUGAGAGGAUGUCCAGCCACACUGGGACUGAGACACGGCCCAGACUCCUACGGGAGGCAGCAGCUAGGAAUCUUGCGCAAUGGACGAAAGUCUGACGCAGCGACGCCGCGUGCGGGAUGAAGGCCCUAGGGUCGUAAACCGCUUUCAGCAGGGACGAAAAUGACGGUACCUGCAGAAGAAGCCCCGGCCAACUACGUGCCAGCCGCCGCAGUAA
rnacentral:rRNA from 1 species